GAUGAACGCCGGCGGUGUGCCUAAUACAUGCAAGUCGUACGCACUGGCCCAAUUGAUUGAUGGUGCUUGCACCUGAUUGACGAUGGAUCACCAGUGAGUGGCGGACGGGUGAGUAACACGUAGGUAACCUGCCCCGGAGCGGGGGAUAACAUUUGGAAACAGAUGCUAAUACCGCAUAACAACAAAAGCCACAUGGCUUUUGUUGAAAGAUGGCUUUGGCUAUCACUCUGGGAUGGACCUGCGGUGCAUUAGCUAGUUGGUAAGGUAACGGCUUACCAAGGCGAUGAUGCAUAGCCGAGUUGAGAGACUGAUCGGCCACAAUGGAACUGAGACACGGUCCAUACUCCUACGGGAGGCAGCAGUAGGGAAAUCUUCCACCAAAUGGCGCAAGCCUGAUGGAGCAACACCGCGUGAGUGAAGAAGGGUUUCGGCUCGCAAAAGCUCUGUUGUUGGAGAAGAACGUGCGUGAGAAG
rnacentral:rRNA from 1 species